CGACUCCUACGGGAGGCAGCAGUGGGGAAUAUUGCACAAUGGGGGAAACCCUGAUGCAGCAACGCCGCGUGAGUGAAGAAGUAUUUCGGUAUGUAAAGCUCUAUCAGCAGGGAAGAAAAUGACGGUACCUGACUAAGAAGCCCCGGCUAACUACGUGCCAGCAGCCGCGGUAAUACGUAGGGGGCAAGCGUUAUCCGGAUUUACUGGGUGUAAAGGGAGCGUAGACGGUGCAGCAAGUCUGAUGUGAAAGGUCGGGGCCCAACCCCGGGACUGCAUUGGAAACUGUUGAACUGGAGUACAGGAGAGGUAAGCGGAAUUCCUAGUGUAGCGGUGAAAUGCGUAGAUAUUAGGAGGAACACCAGUGGCGAAGGCGGCUUACUGGACUGUAACUGACGUUGAGGCUCGAAAGCGUGGGGAGCAAACAGGAUUAGAUACCCUAGUACC
rnacentral:rRNA from 1 species